rnacentral:rRNA from 1 species
GAUGAACGCUGGCGGCGUGCCUAACACAUGCAAGUCGAACGGGAAUCUUCGGAUUCUAGUGGCGGACGGGUGAGUAACGCGUAAGAAUCUAACUUCAGGACGGGGACAACAGUUGGAAACGACUGCUAAUACCCGAUAUGCCGCAAGGUGAAACCUAAUUGGCCUGAAGAAGAGCUUGCGUCUGAUUAGCUAGUUGGUGGGGUAAAAGCCUACCAAGGCGACGAUCAGUAGCUGGUCUGAGAGAAUGAGCAGCCACACUGGGACUGAGACACGGCCGAGACUCCUACGGGAGGCAGCAGUGGGGAAUUUUCCGCAAUGGGCGAAAGCCUGACGGAGAAACGCCGGGUGGGGGAGGAAGGUCUUUGGAUUGUAAACCUCUUUUCUCAAGGAAGAAGUUCUGACGGUACUUGAGGAAUCAGCCUCGGCUAACCCCGUGCCAGCCGCCGCGGUAA